AGUGAACGCUGGCGGUAGGCCUAACACAUGCAAGUCGAACGGCAACACAGUAAGAGCUUGCUUUUACCGGUGGCGAGUGGCGGGCGGGUGAGGAAUACAUCGGAAUCUACUUUUUCGUGGGGGAUAACGUAGGGAAACUUACGCUAAUACCGCAUACGACCUACGGGUGAAAGCAGGGGAUCUUCGGACCUUGCGCGAUUGAAUGAGCUGAUGUCGGAUUAGCUAGUUGGCGGGGUAAAGGCCCACCAAGGCGACGAUGCGUAGCUGGUCUGAGAGGAUGAUCAGCCACACUGGAACUGAGACACGGUCCAGACUCCUACGGGAGGCAGCAGUGGGGAAUAUUGGACAAUGGGCGCAAGCCUGACCCAGCCAUACCGCGUGGGUGAAGAAGGCCUUCGGGUUGUAAAGCCCUUUUGUUGGGAAAGAAAAGCAGCAGGUGAAUACCCCGCUGUUCUGACGGUACCCAAAGAAUAAGCACCGGCUAACUUCGUG
rnacentral:rRNA from 1 species